rnacentral:rRNA from 1 species
UACGGGAGGCAGCAGUAGGGAAUAUUGCACAAUGGAGGAAACUCUGAUGCAGCAACGCCGCGUGGAGGAUGACACUUUUCGGAGCGUAAACUCCUUUUAUACAAGAAGAUAAUGAUCCGGUAUUGUAUGAAUAAGCGCCGGCUAACUCCGUGCCAGCAGCCGCGGUAAUACGGGGGGCGCAAGCGUUAUUCGGAAUCACUGGGCGUAAAGGGUGCGUAGGCGUCUUGAUAAGUAUCCCGUGAAAUCCUAUGGCUUAACCAUAGAACUGCGGGAUAAACUGCCAAGAUAGAGUCCGGAAGAGGUCAGUGGAAUUUCUAGUGUAGGGGUAAAAUCCGUGUAGAUAUUAGAAGGAAUACCAAUGGCGAAGGCAACUUACUGGAACGGUACUGACGCUGAGGCACGAAAGCGUGGGGAGCAAACAGGAUUAGAU